UACGUAGGGGGCUAGCGUUGUCCGGAUCUAUUGGGCGUAAAGAGCUCGUAGGCGGUUUGGCAAGUCGGGUGUGAAAUCUCCACGCUUAACGUGGAGCGGUCAUUCGAGACUGCCAUGACUAGAGUCCGGUAGGGGAGUGUGGAAUUCCCGGUGUAGCGGUGAAAUGCGCAGAGAUCGGGAGGAACACCCGUAGCGAAGGCGGCACUCUGGGCCGGUACUGACGCUGAGGAGCGAAAGCGUGGGGAGCAAACAGG
rnacentral:rRNA from 1 species